CGAUUACUAGCAAUUCCGACUUCAUGCAGGCGAGUUGCAGCCUGCAAUCCGAACUGAGACCGGCUUUGAAGGAUUCGCUCCGCGUCACCGCUUCGCAAGCCCGUUGUACCGGCCAUUGUAGCACGUGUGUAGCCCAGGUCAUAAGGGGCAUGAUGAUUUGACGUCAUCCCCACCUUCCUCCGGUUUGUCACCGGCAGUCAAUCCAGAGUGCCCACCCCAACGUGCUGGCAACUGGAUUCAAGGGUUGCGCUCGUUGCGGGACUUAACCCAACAUCUCACGACACGAGCUGACGACAACCAUGCACCACCUGUCUCCUCUGUCCCGAAGGAAAGGCCUAUCUCUAGACCGGUCAGAGGGAUGUCAAGACCUGGUAAGGGUCUUCGCGUUGCUUCGAAUUAAACCACAUGCUCCACUGCUUGUGCGGGUCCCCGUCAAUUCCUUUGAGUUUCAGUCUUGCGACCGUACUCCCCAGGCGGAAUGCUUAAUGUGUUAACUUCGGCACCAAAGG
rnacentral:rRNA from 1 species